UAUACCAGGAAUAUCAUCUUACAGUAACUUCACAUUUAGCGCACAUGGCAUUACUGCAUGGAAGGCAUACCAAGUUGGCACAGGAAAGCUAAUACCUUCAUCUAAUAUUCCAACCGUUGAAAAGUGUAUUCUCAAUACUUCAUGUUCAGAGAUAGAGGGUGAAAUUGAUGUGGUUUUUCACCAACUGCCACUUAAAGCUGAAGAGGAAGAAAACACCAUAACAUGUGCAAAUGAGGGAUGCACACUGUCUUUUUCUUCUUUUCAUGAACUGUCAAGCCACUUAAUGUUCGGCAAGUGUGAGUUUGAAUUUAGGUGCCAGUUUAGUAAUGGAUGUGACAUUACUAAGAAGACUUACAUUACAAAGAUGUCUAAGUCUUUUUCAACCAACUUUCAAGUUUCAUCAGCAGGACUGACAGUUGGAAUUGAUGACAACUCAGAUUUAGAACUUGGCUGGGCAUUGAAAGAAGAAAGGAAGAACAAACGAUUCAAUGUAAACCAAAAAGAAUAUCUUACUGAAAAGUUUAAUAAAGGUCUAAAAACUGGAAGAAAAGAAGAUCCUUUUUUGGUAUCAGAGGAAAUGCUGACUGAAAGAAAAGAAGAUGGAAAUAGAAGAUUUUCAUAUGAUGAAAUCCUUUCUGUACAGCAAAUCACAAGUUUCUUUUCUAGAAUGAGCAGGAAGAACAAAUCAUUUGAUGAUUCCGUUGAUGCAUCAAGGGAAGAAACUAUAACAACUAUCAGGAGAGAACUAACUGCAGAUGAACUUAAUUAAAUUUUGUUUACCAAC